UACGUAGUGGAUCAGCAGCAGGAUCGAGGCGGCGGCAGGAAGUCGUGUCUGGCGGCGUGCUCGACUCUCCUGUGCUGCUGCUGCCUCUGGGACCUGCUGACUCAGCACCUGUGCUGACCUCUGACCUCCUGUCACACAGCAGGCUGUAGACCUGUACAGGUGUAAAGCGCCUCUCCCCCUGUGUAGCUGGGAUAGGCUCCACCCCCUGUGACCCUAAUAAAGAUAAGAGGAUGGAUGGAAGUUUGUUCAGCAUUUGAUGAUGAACUCGUCACCAUCACUCUUGGCUCUCUCUUGACUUCUGAAAUGAUUAAAAUACAAAUAUUCAUGUUUUUGUUGUCGGUGUUUGUUGGUGGACUGAAGUUUUUGAAUUCUUCAGUAAUAAUCAAAAUAUUUGCUGUUUGUUUGUUUUAAGAUGUUAAUGUACAAAUUGACUGAACUCCAGAAAGUCAGUUUGGGUUUGAUGUUUAGGGUUAGGGUCCAGCUUUAUUACACACUCCGUGUAUUUCAUCUGCACUCUGUUAAAUAAACUUUUUCAGAUUCA